GGGGGUUCUUCCUAGUAAACUGGUUAAGAGGUGGCUCAAACACUCCAGCAUGCGCUGUGCGCCUCCACCUCCCCUCCAUACUAUACGGAGUACUCCCCAAGUUUCGUCAACUGGGACUCCCCACCGUGGGCAACGUCGAAUGUUCAGCAUCGCUGGUGCCGUCCACUGGUGACUGAUCCUGCAACGAGACUAAGCCGCUCAAGGUCGUAGUCGCGAUCUUGAGUGGAAAGGCACCAACCACCGAGAGGGUUGGUGUUGCUGAGAUGAAGGUUGUUGUGGAGAGAACUGGUGGAAUAGUUGUGCUUGCAGAAAGUUUUGGUCAUUAUGUUUUUAAAGAUUCACUUCAACACAUCUUUCAGUCAAGUGACAAUGAUCUUGAUUUUUCAUUCAAUGGUAUAUUUGAGAUUAACUGCUCAAAGGACAUCAAAAUCCUAGGAAUUAUUGCUGUC